GAGAGUCAACCAAGACGGCGGCAUAGGUAAACAUCUGAAUUUGCUGCCGUGCACAACUACAUUAAAACUACAACUAAAAGACAAAACAAAUACUAUCUAGAACCACAGGAAGG